rnacentral:rRNA from 1 species
GACAGAGGCCUCGAGCGUUAGGCGGAAUCACUGGGCUUAAAGCGUGUGUAGGCGGAAGCGUAAGUACCUUGUGAAAUCCCACGGCUCAACCGUGGAACUGCUGGGUAUACUGCGUUUCUUGAGCCAUUUAGGGGCGAGUGGAACGGAUGGUGGAGCGGUGAAAUGCAUAGAGAUGUGGAGGAACACCGAUGGCGAAGGCAGCCCCCUGGGCUGAGGUUGACGCUCAGGCACGAAAGCGUGGGGAGCAAACAGG